UGCGUAGGUGGUAAUUUAAGUCAGCGGUGAAAGUUUGUGGCUCAACCAUAAAAUUGCCGUUGAAACUGGGUUACUUGAGUGUGUUUGAGGUAGGCGGAAUGCGUGGUGUAGCGGUGAAAUGCAUAGAUAUCACGCAGAACUCCAAUUGCGAAGGCAGCUUACUAAACCAUAACUGACACUGAAGCACGAAAGCGUGGGUAUCAAACA
rnacentral:rRNA from 1 species